rnacentral:rRNA from 1 species
AUUGAACGCUGGCGGCAGGCCUAACCCAUGCAAGUCGAGCGAGCGGCGGACGGGUGAGUAAUGUAUGGGGACUGCCCGAUAGAGGGGGAUAACUACUGGAAACGGUGGAUAAUACCGCAUACUAUCGGAUAACCCAUAUGGGAUUAGCUAGUAGGUGGGGUAAAGGCUAACCUAGGCGACGAUCUCUAGCUGGUCUGAGAGGAUGAUCAGCCACACUGUGACUGAGACACGGCCCAGACGCCUACGGAGGCAGCAGUGGUGAAGAUGGAACAAUGGUCGCAAGCCUGAGGCAGCCAUGCCGCGUGUAUAAAGAAGGCCUUAGGGUUGUAAAGUACUUUCAGCGGGGAGGGGUUACCCGCAGAAGAAGCACCGGGUAACUCCGGGCCAGCAGCCGCGGUAAGUC